rnacentral:tRNA from 1 species
AGGCUUGUAGCUCAACUGGUAGAGCGCGCGCGGCAGAAAAGCGCCGGCUGCAUCCAUGCAUGGGUUCAAAUCCCACCGAGGCUA